UGCCUUUGGGAUCCUACUCACAAGGCUCAUAAAGAAUAAAACCUCACGGUGACUGAGCCCUGAGGGAGACACGUGCUUCAGUACUGAGGUCAAUUCCACCUUUGCUUCUUACACUGUGAAAAUAAAUACAUUGCCUCAUCUCUUUAAAAAUCAAAUUUACUCAUUAUACCAGGGACAAAUAAUGCUGCAUCUAACAGAGUGGGGAUAAAACACUACAAGCAGCUUUGAAAUCUGGAGUUGGAAGUUAGGUUUUCUUAGACCUGACAGUGGUUUGUUAUUUCCAACAGUGCUAUAACCUCCCUUUUAGAAAUUUGCUAGCUUUUUUAAAUUAGUGUAUCUGAACGAACUCUGGUUACAAUCACCAGAAGCUGUUGGCCUUGAAAAACAGUUAUUGCUGAGCCUGUCCUUUUCCUGCUUCAGAUCAUUUAACCUGCAGCUGUGUAGUGGGCAUAGAAAGUACCUGAGUGGUUACUUGUGCUGCAAGUAGAGACAGGUUGCCUUUUAGGAAGCCGCAGUAAAGCAUACGUUGGUGAUCUUUACUGAGCAUUAUUUUUAGGUGUUUUGGUAUGAAAUGUGGCAUUGCAAACAUGAUCUAAUGCUGUGCUUUAUCAACAACUGAAUAGCAGUCAGCAAUGGGAAAAAAAGAUGGCUGUUGUUAAAAUGAUGAUCUGUGGAAAAGUAAUAAAAGAAUUUAUGUUUCUUGUUACAUAUGAAGACAGGCUGAUUAGGUUAUUCUCUUGCUUACUUCUUUCUAUUGGUAGCUGCGUUUUGUCGUAUCCUUUUCCUAGAAAGCUCAGGUGAAGAUUCAGCAGGCACAUGGCAUCAAAGUAUCAAAGGAAAAAAACAUUAAUAUUUGGAAACACUGGGGUACUUUAAAAAAAUACCCAUUAUCCUUAUUUAAAAGUAUUUAUCCUAAUUACUACUUUCAGAAAACACGUUUUCUAAGGAUUCAGCGUUUCCUGUUCCAUGAGCUGACUGGUGAGAUUUCCCAACUAUUCUUAUGCAUCCUUUUCAUAGAUUUCCAGGGAGAAAGCAAGAGACAGAGGAAGUAAGACUUCAUGUGCCUGGGAGCUAUAAAAAUGGGGAUAGGAAGAAAAGAUUUAUAUUUAAAAUAGAGAAGAUUUUUUUCUUUCCUAGGUCUUCUAUAACAGCAGAGAAGAAGCACAGAUGAGCAACUUAAAGAAAAAACAGAGAGGAAGAUGUCUGCUUCGUGCUUCCAGUUCUGAAAAGGAAGCAGUGUGCACAUAAAAGUUAUUGGCAGCUGUGUUGAGGCCAGAGGUCAUGCAGCUCUUCAGGUUUCCCAUUAUCCUUUAUUAUGAAGGAGAUCAACGCAAGCAGAAUGGCUGCCAUUUUGCCUUUGUCUGCAGAAGCAACACUGUUGUGUGUUGAAAAGGUGCACUGCUGUCCACACCCGUCAGAAGGACUGAAAGCAGUACUCAGGUGGAGUAGCAGUGCGUCUUUGGUCUGGUGAGCUGGGCACAGACUGCAAGCAGCAGUGAUACUCUGCAAGAAGAAUGUGUGAGAAGACAUGAGUGGAGUAUGGCAAACAGGGUGAAGUCUAACUGCAGAAUGGGGUAAAAGAGUUCAAACUGAAGGGCAGAAAAUCUGGAGGUGGAAACAUCUGUCUCCUUUGGUGGUGUGGAAAAUCGUGCCUCCUUCAGGCAGACUGAGGAGAGAGAAGGAGAGAGAACCCACAAAAAUUGCCAUAAUCAGGGAGUCAGAGCUACCGUUGGACUGCUUAAACUCUCCCUCAUGUUGGAUGGUGGUUUCACUAUUGCUCCUUUCACAGGCUUCUUUUCGCCCACAACUUCUCUAAAGUGGUGUUUGAUGGGGAAGCACAACGUCUGCAUUUUUAUUUUUAAAACAGUACGUAACAAAACUGCUUAUUGCCACCUGCAGAGGAACCAGAGUCAAUUACAGUAGAACCUGAGGACAGAAAGUGAGAAUAAUGCAGGAAGGGAGCACCAUAAGAAAGAAAGCUAGAGGAGCAAAACAACUGCAAGACUGCACAACCUUAGGACUAGUAAAAAAAGAUUAAGAAAGGAGUGCUAAAAAGUGGGAAGCUGCAUGGAAGGUUUCUUGGAUCCAGGGUUGCACACAGAAGGUGUAUUUCAUCUCUCCUGCACAGAUAUAUGGGCACACGAGUGCACAUGGCCUUUCCUGGCUCUCACCUUUCCUGGCCACAACCUCCUCCUUACUCUGCAUCAGCUGCAGGGAGGCCCUAGCAAGGAUCCCAAAGAAAGAGCUGGACAGAGAAUGGGGGGUUGAUGACAGUGGUGACAGCAGGAAGAGCUGCACAGGGAAAUGGACCAGCAGCAGCCGUUUCCAUGACUUGGCCUCCAGCGGCUUCUGGAACAGAGAACAGUGAAGCUGGGUGGGCCAGGCUGUUUGUUCUUUAAUACUCAAAUCUGACUGCUUACAAACCCUGUGACUCACUCACUGUCCCAGCUUGUCUUCUGCAAUGGUUGGCAGCAAAGUUAAAUCCAGGUUCACAAGCACAGCUUUGUGUCACCCCCUUGAUGGAAGCCUGCCAGCAGCUUCCCUGUGGCUGAGCUGCUGCUGGGAUCUUGGGAUGGGGCUGCAUGGGUAAAGCCCACAGGCUGACUCCUGAGAGCAAUCACAGCACCUCUUGGUAGCAGACGAUCUCUUCAAAGCCACCAAUUAAUCACACACAAGCAGAAAUGGAGGAAGACUCAAUUGCUCAGGGGCUAACAUGCAUUUGGCCCACUGGGCUAUUUUCUUUUUGCACAGGAAAGGAAUGAUGAUGAGGAUUCUAGUGGAUUUCAUCAUGCGCUGACAACCAUUUGCCGAACAGCAUGUUCUCCCCACACGUGAAAAAGCAAGCAAAAACCCCAGGACUUUCCUUUUAAUCCUGCACUAAACCUCAGGACAACUAGAAGAAAGCCAGAAGUUUGUUGGGUUUUUCUUUCUUUCUUUCCUUCCCCUGAAGAGAGCAAGAUGUUCUGUGGUUGCUGUUCUGGAUUCACUGACUGUGCUAAAGAAAGCAUGUUCCCUCUCAAGAGCCCUGAGCAGCUCAGUUCUACUGUUUGUUUCUGCUGCUUGAACCGCACUUGAUUGCUGCUGCUGGCUUACUUCCUGUCACUUGAGAACCUUGCAGAGCUUAAACCAGCCCUGGCAGCAAUUCUUCCUUACGGUCUUGCUUCCACAGGCUAACCAUAGCACAGAGAACAAUGAAAAUACACAUUAAAGCUACUCUUAACAAGGUGUUCCAGACCAGGGCUGUGUUCAAAAAGAUGUUUGUGUUUAUCAAGAGAGUCCAACUCCAAAAUCCUUCUAUUGCAGCCAUUUCUUUUGAAGCAGAAUUCAAUGCAAAGACCCUACAGCGUUUUCAAGGGUUUCCUCACGUUAGCAACACUGCUGUGCACAAGUGAAUUCCCAAUUACUUAUACCAAGCGCUGCUUACAUGGGAGACUUUGAAACGAGAUGGAGCCUGCCUGAAACAACAUCCUCCUUUUGGCUGCAGGGUACAGCAUCUGUGUCUGGCGCCUGUGCUUGUCUGUCUCUGUCUUUGUUCUUGUGAGUUUGUCUCCUUGGAUGCAAAAGGGAAGCUGUUGGUCAUACUGCGCUGUCAGGAUCUCCAGCAUUCAUCCAGCAUAACCCCAGUGGGUGCAGCGAAAUUAAUCCAGAUUUGCUGAAGUAUAACUUUGGUUCUGUAAGUUAAUUAACAUGUUUAAAAGCGGUUUGGAAAUUGGUGAGAAACCAGUGGAGACCGCUUUAACUUUUCCUUCCAGAAAAGUUUUGAUUUAUUGAAAUGCUGUAGUCAUAAAUACCAAACAAAGGAAGUGAAUAGACUACAGUGUCUUCACUGUGAAAGGGCAAUGGCAGAUGCUUGGAUAAACCAGGAAACAGGUCUUUAUUUCAGCGCAAUGCCUGCAAGGAUUUCUAUCUCUCAGACCUCUCCGAGAAGUUAUUUUAACUACCUUUCUAUGAGAUUUAUUAGGCUGUGAAGGAGAAUUUCAAACAAAUGGUAGAAUAACAAAAUCCUAGAAAGAUACGCUGGUGAAUUGUCUUGCAUUGCACUUGGGCGAUGACCCAGAUGACCUAGCAGCCUUUUCCAUUUCUAACAUCCAUGAUUACCACAGUUAUACCUGAGGACACUAAACAGAGCCAUUUUCUUCCUUUCAGAAGCAGUAAAAUGUCACUAAUGGCCACGCUAAAUCAGAAGAACUUAUCCUUCUGCAGAUGUGUUACACACUUAGCAAGACAGCUAUAAAUGAUCCCACUUGGUUUAUAUUUGCUAUUUUCCAUUUCUGUAGUGCGAGUGCUCCGCUCAAGGGGCCUGCCAGCCAAGGGAAAGAAUUUCUGGUAGGAGAUUAAGGAUAACUAAGGAAAUGGUUGCAUGACCUAUAAAGAGAGGAUCAUAAAUAUUGCAACAAUAAAACCAAUAGCUCUUUCAAAGUUUAAAUAGCUUUUCUUUUCAAACACUUGAAGUAAAUGCCCUUUUCCCAAGGUUGUCUAGCAUCUGUGCCCAGGGAUUUUACUCAGUUUCACCAAAUACAUUGUAAUUUCUCAGAGAGAUAGCUAUUCCUUUUAAUCAUUUUCGUUUGUGGAAGUGUCCUCUUCAGAGAAGCUGGAGCCCAAUUACCUCAAAGUGCCUUAUUACUUCCUCUACUACUGAAGUUUCAGAGAAGCCAGAGCACAAUAGUAAAGUAGCCCCUGCAUCUCUUAAGCACCGUGGUCACAAACAAUGCAAGAUGAGGCAAGUACGAUUCUGUUCCUCAUAAACAAGCAGCAGCACUUAUAUGUAUGUUUUCUUACAUCCAAGGAACCUCGGACACAAGGAUCUGCCUGUGUAAGUAUUCAAGUAUACAAUUCAUUUUCUUCACAGUCCCAACUGUGCAAAUAGCCGGACCUGGGCUGCUGUCACUCUGCAUAGCAGAAUACAGCUGACAUUCCUAUCCCACACACUCUGUCGGCAUGCAACACGUAGCUUUUGUUUUCAUGGUAUGGGAUCCAGCUCUAGAGUAAGCAAUCUGUUUUCAUGUGUUAAUUUUUUCCCCCAUACUCCAUCUUACAUCAUUGUGUAGCUAAUGCAGGGGAAGCUCAAACUGAUGUGUUCCACCAGCUAUGUCAGAGCAAUAGAUGCACAUCUUGCUGAAGCAUUCCUAUUCCUUUGUCACCCCAUCUUGCCAUAUUUAUUUAAUCUACAUCUCAGGCUCUGGUUUGGGAGUACUGUUUUGGAUACAAUAAAUAGGCACUACGCCUGCCAUAGGCAGAGGCUAGAGAGCCUUGAUAUUAGUGCUCAAUCCUGUGUAUUGGUCAGAUUGCAGAAAGCAAUGUUCUUUCUGUAACAGCCACUCCAGAUUGGUAAAUCAAAAAGCUGAAGAAACGUGGUGUUUAUUCAGCCCACAGUGGGCAUGUGCCAAAUCCACCCCCAAACUCAUACAAAAUGCUGAUCUGGCCACAGCCCACUGGCACAACGUACUUUUUUCACUUGCACAAUUGAAAUAAAAUUCACUAUUCAGCAGAAGCUUUUUUUUUUUUUUUUUUUC